UACGUAGGGUGCAAGCGUUGUCCGGAAUUAUUGGGCGUAAAGAGCUCGUAGGCGGUCUGUCGCGUCGGAUGUGAAAAUCCAGGGCUCAACCCUGGACCUGCAUUCGAUACGGGCAGACUAGAGUUCGGUAGGGGAGACUGGAAUUCCUGGUGUAGCGGUGAAAUGCGCAGAUAUCAGGAGGAACACCGGUGGCGAAGGCGGGUCUCUGGGCCGAAACUGACGCUGAUUAGCGAAAGCUAGGGGAGCAAACGGG
rnacentral:rRNA from 1 species